AGUAGAGAUGGGGUUUCACCAUGUUGGCCAGGCUGGUUUCAAACUCCUCACCUCAGGUGAUCCAUCUGCC
rnacentral:miRNA from 1 species